GGGGGAGUGUGGCAGCGAUGUCACAGACUGGAACAGUACCCUGUACAGGUGCUGCAUGGCUGUCGUCAGCUCGUGCCGUGAGGUGUUGGGUUAAGUCCCGCAACGAGCGCAACCCUACUGCCAGUUACUAACAGGUAACGCUGAGGACUCUGGCGGAACUGCCGGUGACAAACCGGAGGAAGGUGGGGAUGACGUCAAGUCAUCAUGGCCCCUAUGUCCAGGGCUACACACGUGCUACAAUGGGCGAUACAGAGUGACGCGAAGCCGCGAGGUGGAGCAAAUCGCAGAAAAUCGCUCUCAGUUCGGAUUGGAGUCUGAAACCCGACUCCAUGAAGGUGGAAUCGCUAGUAAUCGCGCAUCAGCAUGGCGCGGUGAAUACGUUCCCGGGCCUU
rnacentral:rRNA from 1 species